rnacentral:rRNA from 1 species
AUUGAACGCUGGCGGCAGGCCUAACACAUGCAAGUCGAGCGGAUGAAGGGAGCUUGCUCCUGGAUUCAGCGGCGGACGGGUGAGUAAUGCCUAGGAAGCUGCCCGAUAGAGGGGGAUACCAGUUGGAAACGACUGUUAAUACCGCAUAAUGUCUACGGACCAAAGUGUGGGACCUUCGGGCCACAUGCUAUCGGUUGCGCCUACGUGGGAUUAGCUAGUUGGUGAGGUAAUGGCUCACCAAGGCGACGAUCUCUAGCUGGUUUGAGAGGAUGAUCAGCCACACUCGAACUGAGACACGGUCCAUACUCUUACGGGAGGCAGCAGUGGGGAAUAUUGGACAAUGGGCGCAAGCCUGAUCCAGCCAUGCCGGGUAUGUGAAGAAGGCCUUCUGGUUGUAAAGCACUUUCAGCGAUGAGGGAGGAGUGUGUGUUAAUAGUACACACCUUUGACGUUACUCGCAGAAGAAGCACCGGCUAACUCUGUGCCAGCAGCCGCCGUAACAC